rnacentral:tRNA from 1 species
UAUAGUCUAAAGGCUUAGGACGCUUGUACGAAAUACAAGAGAUCCGGGUUCGACGCCCGGUA